CCCUCGGAACGCGCGCGCACACACCUCCCACCGCUUUGCCCAAAUUAUUUUCGAUCCCGGGAGACUCCGGAUGCCAGACGCGCUCGGCGGCGGCGGCCGUGCCUGAUUCAUUGCGCCAAAGCUGCAGAUGCGACCUCCCGCCUGCGCCCUGUGCCCCGGUCCGCGCUGGGCUGAGCGCGCGCCUUAGAGAGAUGGAAGGGGGGCAAUUUGUAGGCGCUUUCCCCUCCCCACAAAAGGCGGGCCCUGCUCCCCCCCCAAGGGGCUAGGUCCCCUGUCUCCAGCUCCCCGGGCUGCGCUAAUUAGCUUCCUCCGGGGGCGCCACGCGGCGUGAGGGGCGGCAAUUUCCCGGCUGGGCUGCGGGGGAAGCGCUCCUGCCGCCUGGGAAGUGCACGGUCACCAUGGCAACCGCGGAGGAGGUCACGGUAGCUGGGCCCCCGCGCGUCACCCCGCGCCUCGCCGGCUGCAGGCGCCGGGAUUGCGGCCUCCCAGGCGCCGUGGCCCGCGUGGACUCAGCUCCGAGCUCUCCGCCCCCGCUCCGCCCUGCCUACAGCUCAGGCCCCUCCACAGGGCUCUGCCGCGUCCCAACCGGGAAUGUCGCACCUGGGCGCCAGUGCGCUCAGCUAUGCUGUCCCCUCCCACCCCCCCGCCGCCCACUCCCCGCUUUGGCACGCGGGACUGCGCCAUGUAACACGUGCCUAUAACCAAGCUAGGGAACAUGUGCCGCUCUUGCCGAGGGGCUCUCCGCACUUAACGGAUGCCCUGGGGAAUCGACCUAUAUUUGGUCCACAACUCCACAGGCCCUGCCAAGAAGAGACCUCCUGUAACUAAAAAGGCCAGUUCUGGAGUCAGAGCCUAGGCCUGCCUAUCUGACUUAGGGUCCCAGCCUUUCUGUGCCUCUGCUUGCUCAUCAGCAAAAUGGUCCUGUAAGGUUUAAGUACUUUCGAAGUACGUUUAAUUGCUUAACACAGUGUUUGCCAAGUGGUCCCGAAAAA